GACGAACGCUGGCGGCGUGCUUAACACAUGCAAGUCGAACGGAAAGGCCCUGCUUUUGUGGGGUGCUCGAGUGGCGAACGGGUGAGUAACACGUGAGUAACCUGCCCUUGACUUUGGGAUAACUUCAGGAAGCUGGGGCUAAUACCGGAUAGGAGCUCCUGCUGCAUGGUGGGGGUUGGAAAGUUUCGGCGGUUGGGGAUGGACUCGCGGCUUAUCAGCUUGUUGGUGGGGUAGUGGCUUACCAAGGCUUUGACGGGUAGCCGGCCUGAGAGGGUGACCGGCCACAUUGGGACUGAGAUACGGCCCAGACUCCUACGGGAGGCAGCAGUGGGGAAUAUUGCACAAUGGGCGGAAGCCUUAUGCAGCAACGCCGCGUGCGGGAUGACGGCCUUCGGGUUGUAAACCGCUUUCGCCUGUGACGAAGCGUGAGUGACGGUAAUGGGUAAAGAAGCACCGGCUAACUACGUG
rnacentral:rRNA from 1 species